AGAGAGAAGCAGCCCUACAGCCACCAGGGUCAGCAGACGAGUACAGGAGGUGCUCCAGGCAUGGAGCAGAAGCUCCAAGCAGUCCCGGAGACCUGUAGUGGAGCAGGUUGUCCUCGUGCAGCCCAUGGGCACCACACAGAGCAGAUCUCCACGUGCAGCCGUGGAGAAGCCCCUCGUGUAGCAGCAGUGGGUGUGGCCUGGAGGUGAGUGCCGCCGGCGGAGAGCCCUCACAGGAGCUGCAGGCCGUGGAGAGGAGCCUGUGGUGGGACGGGAGUGCUGGGGGAGCAGCUUCCUAUGGGGUCCUGCGCUGGAGCACUCUGCUCCUGAAGUAUUGACCCUGCGGUACGGAGCUGUGCUGGAGCAGCGCUUGGAGAGCUGCAGCCUGUGGGAAGUUCGUGUGGAAUAGGUUGGGGAAGGAUGGACAUCUCACUGCUCUAGUCUGAUAGUUAUCCGCAUUAACUUAUAUUGAGCUCCCAAGACUGUUUUUUAUUCACAAUGGUAACUGGUGGCUAUCCUCAUCACAACCCCUCAGCACUUUUCUAUCAUGUUUUCUCUCCCUGCUCCUCUGUGGAGGAGGAGUGAGAAAGCAGCUGUUUUGGAGUUCAGCUGCCCAUGGUGAAACCACCAGCAUGUACCAGCAGGAAAAGCAAGGCCUUUCCCAACAAAUGCUGAAACAGAGGAUAAAGACCAACAGUACCGAAAAGAAUCAGCAGUGAAACACAUUUUUCUAAAAUGUUUUGAAGUAAUAUUCACCUUGUUUUUGAGAAAGAGACCGGAACAGAAGGAAGAGAUUUCUGGUGUCACGGUCACCCUUCCACUGCUCCUCCGGAUCCCCUGGUUGCGGUACUCACUGCAGACUGGGGAUGAGUGAGAGAGCAACAACAGUUAAGUGUGAGCAUUUGGAGUCCUCAGCCAGGAAGAACGGGAUGUUCGUGUCGAUGAUUUCUUCCUCCGUCGGUGAGAUUGCUGUUAGAGCCAAACCAAGUAUGCAGAGGUGCAGGUGAAGUUCAGAGACAUCAGCGUGACAAACCCUCUGGUCCAAGUCCUGGCAAACGCGGCGCAGACCUCGCAGCACGUCACUAGCAAACCAGCUCCUUACUCAAGGACCGCACGGUCCUAACGGAGCCGGAGCCGUACCCGACCCGAGCCAACGUUCGCCGCGGACGGCGGUACCUCCGAGCACUUCACGCCCGCCGUUUGCUGCAGAGGCAGCGAAGCACACAAUGGUCCCUCACAGAGCACGCGGAGCGCGGGGCGGGGCGGGCGGCACGGGCUCAGCGCGCGGCGAGGCGGACCCGGCGCGCGGCAGCGGCCGUUGUGGACUCGGCCGCGGUGCCCUCUGAGGACGGCGGCACUCCGCGGCGCGGGGAUGUGCCGCGGGGCGCAGCUCCAGCCUGCACGGGUUCCGCCGGGAAAAUAAAUAAUUAUUUUUAAUUUUUUUUCUUUUUUUUUUUUUUUUUUUUCCCCUGAACAAAGCGCCCUAGUGUGAAGUUCGGUGUUGCUGCGAGCGCCCGGGAGCGACGACGCGCCCCGCGCGACAGGACAGUCCUCAGCCUCCCUCCGGUGCUCCUGGGGAAGUGGCUCCAGCGCGCACGUUCCCGCUGCCGGCAGCCACCGCCUCGGCUGCGGUGCAUCCCGGGGAGGCCGAGGCCCUGUCCCAGCCUCAGCCCCGCUGGGCCCGGCCCGACCGAGCCGCACCGCCGCGCUCAGCGGGCCCGACCCGGCCCCUCACACCCCCGGCGACCCCCGCCGCCCGCCUCGGCUGCCCCCUCCCGGAAACAGCGCCGCCGGAGGGGCGCGCUCCGAUUGGCCGUUACCCGUGACACGCUCCCGCCUCCUCGGCGCGGCGCGGGCGUCGAUUGGCCGGCGGCGCUGUCAGUCGGAAAGGGCGAGUCCCCCCGCUGCCCGGGCUGCGCUCUCGUGGGGCGGGCGCUGCUGCCGGGCGUCGCGGCGGCUGGUGCUGGUGCGGCUGCGGGCGGAGCAGGGAUGCCGGCCGCGGGGCGGCGGGCGGCACUCCGGCGCGGAGCUGAGGGCGAACGCGGCCGUGGGGAACCAGCACAUUCCCUUUAAUAAUUAGAAAUAAAUAACAAUAAGAAUGACACUGAGAUUGAAUGCUGAAGGAGGCUGGAGCCAGGCGUUGCCAACUGGAGAAGAUGAAUAUGUGUGUUCAUGCGCUCUGAAGGGAGGACAGAGAUUAAAAGGAGAGGGUGGCAAGAGAUCAUUAAAAGAUUGAUUGAAAGCCAAUGCCUAGAAAGUAGAAUUAAGAAUAACUCAGCAAAGAGAAGGAAAGCUGGAGAGGUGAGACUGCAGUGCUGGCAAGUGGAGGUGCUUGGCUGUCCGGAAGUGGAAUGCUGCUAUUCUGCAGGCAGAACUGUUGAUCGAUGAGAAGACAGCAGUGAGACCAAGGAAGAAACAAAGUGGACAGCCUGAAAAGAAGAUAUCUGAAUCUCCCUAUUUCUCUGCUAUCAACAAAAAUCUACAUCAGCUUGCACAGAACUCAUUUUUGCACAGUACCCUCACUGUCAUUUACGAACACUUACAUGUUUUCUAUCCGUAGUUACUUAAAGUAGACAGGUGAGAUGGAAGUGCAUCUGGGUCAGAGAAGCAUCAUUAACUUCUUACAAAUGUCAUGAACCUUGAUUGUGCCUAUUUUUGCUGAAAAGGACCAAAAUCAGAUCUGCAAGCUAAGUCAGUAUUGCCACUUACCUAAAUGCAUGCUCCUAAAGAUCUCAGGAACCUGACAGUGAGGUUUUAACUUUCCUGUUACAUUAAGAUAGUAAGCAGUAACCCAAAAUAAAGUGUAUAGCAUGUUUCCUAGAGAAAUAAUUUGAAAUGGCCACUGAAAUCUUUCAGUUGCUUUCCUUGUACCACAACAUGAAAAGGCAGUUUACCAUUUCACUGGGCAAAGCUACAUUCUGGUGUCUGCCAUAUCUGCAUAGUUAAUGGUUCAGUCUCGCUGAUUUUGGCUGUGUUAUCAUACUCCUUUUGUGUUAUUUGCCAGUUGACUUAAUCUCUUCAAAGAACUAAUGAACUAGCAUGCUAUUGGGUUUGUUUCUCUUUAUUUACCAUUGAACAAUAGUUUUUGUUUUGACUAUUUGCUAGUCAGUAUUUUUAUGCGGUAUAAAUUGCAUGCUUUUUUUUAAUUAAAAAUGUCCAGAUUGUUUUCUGUUUCCUAUACAGGGUUGAAAAACUUCCAGUCUUUUCAUUAUUUUAAAAGGUCUUUGGGUUUUUUUUAGCCCUUCUCAAAAUUGUUAGUCUUCAAAUACAGUUUGGCUGCUUCUUAUGGGAGAGUGUAAUUUAAUAUUAAUACAGUUAUAAUCUUUUAUAAGUAUUAUUAUAGAGCCACCUUAUAUGUUGGAAUAGCAAACUUUAAGCUUUUUAAAAAAAAAAAUUAAUUUUUUAAUUUGCAAAUGAAGAAAUGGAAGAAUCAGCAGGGUAGCAGGAAGCAAGACCAGCAGAGAAAAGAGAAAGAACAGCGUGGAUGUUUUACAAAUAGUUUGUUCUUGUGGAAGACCUCUCUCUUCCUCUGACACCCUUACAUCCUUUACUUGGUGCACUGCAUUUUUACUAAGUUAUCUGAUUGUAGUACCACUUACAAUUUACAGAGGCAGAAGAUACGGCAUACAAACUUUAACUUUGUUUGAAGAAGACUGUUGCUUUAAUUUAAACAAACAAAACAAACAAAAAUCAAAAACCAAAACCACCAAAGACUGCCUUUUGUUGUGGAAGAAGAUAUUGGACAAAUCCCAUUCUGAAAACUCAGAGUAUUAUUCCUGUUUCCUGGCUGCCCUGAGAACAGUUUCACAGGCAGAGGCAGGGCACUGUGCAGUGCUGAAGGCAUGAGGGGGCCCAGGGCUGCUCUGCACCAGGAGCCGGGCUCUGAGUCCUUGCCCGCGCACAGUGUCCAGUGCUGCCACUGCUGUGCUGUUCAGAGCUGAGCAGGCCGUGCCGCUGCCCUUGGGUCUUUCCCUUUCAGUUCCAGAGUUGGCUCCUAACUGUUAUUUGCAGCAGUGCAAAUUAUAACCUUUAGGUAUAAUUUAGAUAUAUAGAAUAUAAAGAUCUCACAGUGUAUAAAAAUAGAUCUGUUUCAAAACAAUUGUAUUGCUAAAUCCAGAAACAUUCCUUAUCCGUGAUUUUGAAGACAUACAGAAUUCAUGCCAUUUCUGUAUGCACCAGAAGAACUUGGAGAUUUUAGUUUAUAUAAUUAGAAAAUGUGCAAUAUAUGUAGAUGGCCUGUCACAGACACUCUCCAAAUACUAACAAUUUUAUACGCUGAUAAUCCUGAGAUGAAACUGUUGAGAUUAGCUGUGGAAAUACAACUUUCGCAGGAACAGUAUGCUUUAGAAUCCAAUUUUGAAUCCUUUUUGUUAUGAAGGUCACCUGCUCUUUAAAGUGGAGCUUCUCAUGUUUGUGUAAUUGCACCUUCACUUUGUCAGCUCACCCUGGAGAGCAUCAUAAUGGAAGAUGAGAAAAUAUGUUAAGGGUGAAAAAUCACUGAGAGUCCUCUGCUGCUAUUGUUUUAAAAUAUGUGUGAAGACAUAUAGAGAAAUGCUUUUGUAACUUGUCAUUUUAAUUUUAAUACAAGCAGAGUAACACUUUCCUCGUAUUCACAUGCAUUUGUUAACUUAAGGCCACACUAAGGUCAUGAAAGAAGGAAACACAACCACAAUGAAUUUGGCUAUUCUAGUAGCAGAGUUUUCCUCUAUUACUCACUCAAUUAUUUUUGGUUCAAAUGCAAUAUUUGGUGUUGAGAACAUGCAUUCAUUGAACAGGAGUCCAGAAGGAUUUCAGAGGCUGAUUGCAAUUCACUGUUUUGCAGUGAAGGUUGCAACAUUGCCUAUUUAUUGCAAGCCUACUAAAGAGGUAGAGACGGAUGACUUGGGAUCUGUGAUAUGCUUUUUGGAUACUAUUAUUUUAGUUAUAGAGCAGGGAAAUCACAACUUUUCAGUGCCAACAUAUGACCAAAUUAUGCAUACACAUUUGUAAACACCAAUUAAAAUGCUGAACACAUGGCAAUAGAGAUUUGAGAAACUUGUCUGACAAAGAUUUUAACAAGUUCACUUCUGAGAGCAAUCCAACUUUCGAGGCAGCCUACUUCCAUGUAGGAACCUUCAUUAAAGUCUACUAAAAUCAUCAAAAAAGACUCCCUUCCAUCUGGAUGAUCAUUCAGUUAAAUCGUCUUCUGCCCUAUGGCAGAUCUUCACCUUGCAGUGCUGAGCCUUAAAUGAGACUCUGAGUCUGGGAUCAGUGAGGUCUGGGAAGCAGGGAUAAGCACAACAGAAGAAAUAAAAAUAACCAGAAUAUGAUCUGAAGUAAAGCUUUUGCCUUCCUUUGCAAUAGCUUACAUUUUCUUAUACACUCAAUGAUCUCUUUGUGCACCUGAAAGACUAUCUCUUGUAUAGAAAGCAAUGCGCGUUUUAUAGGUGUUCUCCAGCUUUGUAUGUCCACAUCAUGCAGUCCCAUGCCUCAGCUAACUAAGAAGGCAAAUGUGAUCAGCAUAGUUUUUAGAAUGGGGAGCAAAAAAUCAGUUUUGGUCACAAAGCUUUGCUGUAAUUGUUAUGCUUUUUUGAUGCAAAUUGAUCUCAUAAUUCACAGAUCACAGGAAAAUCUACACCGUACAGUCAGUGGUCACUGAUGAGAUCUUUAUCUAUCAGAAUUUUGACAACAAAAGGUAAUUAUGGAGUGAACUGACAUCUUAAACUGCAGUGGAAGGCAAUAAAUUCAGACUGGGAACUUAAAUUCUCCACAUCAGAACAGCAUAAAAUACCUGUAUUAGAUUAAGAUACCCCUUCAAGUAGAGGUCAGGUACUACCAAGACAGGAGAAAAAUCCACUGCAUUUAUUGCUUAUAUUACAUUUAAAUUAUAAAUAAAGCCCUUUGUCAGAAGUGUAUGUCAUGAAAGGAACUUAACAGUACUUUGGAUUUACAUUAAUUCAUUUAUCAUUUUAAAAGGCAAAAUAUUUAUCAUAUUGAACUCAAUUGAAGAGAACAAAUUUGGUGUAAAGAUAGUUAUUUAAAGAGAGAUAAUGCUUUAUCUCUGCCAGUAGUAGCAGUAUAUGUCAGAAAGCCAAUCAAUUCUGUCAUGGACCAGGAUGCUGCUUAAGAAAUGGAAAACAUCUCUCAUGGCAGGUUCACUAUUCAUUUCCGACAUCUGGCUGGUAUGAUAUCGAGCGCUUGAAUUUAUAACAGAUGUUUGUCUGAAAAUACAGCGUUACGCUUUCAUCCACUGAACCUCCUUCUGAGUUUCCUCACAGUUGAUUUGUGUGAUAUUUUUAUUUUUAAGUAAAAGGUUUAUGUUAGAAGGCUUUCUUAUAAAUGCGUGGUUAUGCAUAGAUAGCCAUUCUUCUGCAUGUUUGUAAAAGCUGUACAAUAUCUACCUAGAAGUAUUUUUUGUGUGUUACAGGACAAAGGUUGUUUGUUGCUUUUUUUUUUUCAUUUGUGUUCAAUUAAGCAUUUUUUCCCCCUUAGAUGGGUAGAAGGGUAAAUGUAGCACUUAGGAACAUGAUUUAGUGGGCAAUAUUGGUGGUAGGUAAAUAGUUGGACUAGAUGAUCUUAGAGGUCUUUUUCAACCAUAACGAUUCUAUGAUUCAAUGAUUCUACCAUAAGGCAAUCAACCUAUUAGAGAUCUCUGCACUUGUUUCAAGCUUAUUUGUGACAGGGUUCUUGUCUAGAUUCGUCCCCUCCUCAGCUUUACAUGUAAAGCUGAAAUGAUAAGUUUGGACUUGUCGAAAAUGAUCAGGACAGCUUGCAGACAUUUCAAACCAGUAAAAUUCAUUCUUCAUAAAUACUGAAUUAUUUUUUAAGAGAGUGUUGGAAAAACUUGUUUGUUCUAUAAAAACCUUUGUGUCAGCAGUGCUCCAGAUGGAUUUACAACUUUUUCUUCUAGAGGGCUUAGCAUAUUGAUCUUUACUCACUGCACAGAACAGUAGCCCAUCAUCGGUAAAAUGCUAAAUUGGCAUUUCUCUUUUAGAACAAGUUAACAGUUCAUUAAUGUGGGUUUUCCCAUUGACUUCUGUAACACCCAGAAUCUUAUAAUAUGGGGAAAAAAAAAAAAAAGAAAAAAAAAAAAAA